CUGUUUUUAUUUUGCCGAUUCACACAGCAGGUUUGGUCCAGGUUCAGAGACUGGACGCGGGCUCAGUUCUCGAUCCCUGAUGAUCACUUUGACAGCUCUGAAUCGCGGUGGAUCAAUACUCGAAAGGAAAUUCCCAAAUCAGCUCGAAGAAACUUUGACACCAUCACCAUUCUGAUCCACUAGAGAAUUUGGAAAGAACGAAACGCGGGUUUUUUUUAGCAUGUGGGCAGCAAUGUGGACAGGGUGAUGGAGCUGAUCAGAGAAGAUAUUGUUGUCUGGAGAUCUGCCGGUUGUGUAGGCGAUGUGUACUGA
rnacentral:rRNA from 1 species